rnacentral:rRNA from 1 species
GUGUAAGUCCAUUGGGAAAUCCACGCGCUCAACGCGUGGGCGUCCGGUGGAAACUGCAGAGCUUGGGGCCGAGAGACUCGACGGGUACGUCCGGGGUAGGAGUGAAAUCCCGUAAUCCCGGACGGACCGCCGGUAGCGAAAGCGCCUCGAGAGGACGGACCCGACGGUGAGGGACGAAAGCCAGGGUCUCGAACCGGAUUAGAUACCCGGGUAGUCCUGGCCGUAAACGAUGCUCGCUAGGUGUGGCGCAGGCUACGAGCCUGCGCUGUGCCGAAGGGAAGCCGUGAAGCGAGCCGCCUGGGCAAGUACGUCUGCAAGGAUGGAACUUAAAGGAAUUGGCGGGGGAGCACAACAACCGGAGGAGCCUGCGGUUUAAUUGGACUCAACGCCGGAAAUCUCACCGGCACCGACAGCAGUAAUGACGGUCAGGUUGAUGACCUUGCCCGAGCUGCUGAGAGGAGGUGCAUGGCCGCCGUCAGCUCGUACCGUGAGGCGUCCUGUUAAGUCAGGCAACGAGCGAGACCCGCACUUCUAGUUGCCAGCAACACCAUUGGUGGUUGGGUACACUAGAAGGACUGCCGCUGCCAAAGCGGAGGAAGGAACGGGCAACGGUAGGUCAGUAUGCCCCGAAUGUGCCGGGCGACACGCGGGCUACAAUGGCCGGGACAGUGGGAUGCCAUCCCGAGAGGGAAAGCUAAUCCCCUAAACCCGGUCGUAGUUCGGAUUGAGGGCUGAAAUUCGCCCUCAUGAAGCUGGAUUCGGUAGUAAUCGCGUGUCAGCAGCGCGCGGUGAAUACGUCCCUGCUCCUUGCACA